GACGUAGGGCGCAAGCGUUGUCCGGAUUUAUUGGGCGUAAAGAGCGCGUAGGCGGCCCGGUAAGUCCGCUGUAAAAGUCCAGGGCUCAACCCUGGAAUGCCGGUGGAUACUGUCGGGCUCGAGUGCGGAAGAGGCGAGUGGAAUUCCUGGUGUAGCGGUGAAAUGCGCAGAUAUCAGGAAGAACACCCGUGGCUAAGGCGGCUCUCUAGUACGGUACUGACGCUGAGACGCGAAAAGCGUGGGGAGCGAACAGG
rnacentral:rRNA from 1 species